UAGGUGCAGGACAGCCAAGCGACCAGAGUUACAGAAGAGGAAGGGAGGAGAGCAGGAGAAAGAAGUGUCUGAACUGACAAAUUCUUCUGGCAGCGCCGAGAGCGAGAGCUGCGGUGGAUGACAGUCAAGUGACUGGAGCUACAGAGGAGGAAAGGAGGGGGAGAGAAAGGGAGACAGAGAAAGACGCGUCCACACUGUCAAGUUCUCCCAGCACCUCUGACAGCGGGAGCUGCGGUCAGUGAAGAAGGAGAGGGAGGCGGUGCUCCAGGCACCAGAGCAGAGAUUCCCCUGCAGCCUGUGGUGAAGACCAUGGCGAGGCAGGUUGUUCCCCUGCAGCCCAUGGAGGUCCGUGGUGGAGCAGACAUCCACCCGCGGCCCGUGGAGGACCCCACACUGGAGCAGGUGGAUGUGCCUGAAGAAAGCUGUGACUCCAGGGAGAGCCCAUGCUGGAGCAGGCUCCUGUCAGCAGCUGUGGCCCAGUGGAGAGGAGCCCAUGCUGGAACAGGCUGCCAGCAGCACCUGUGGCCCUGUGGAGAGGAGCCCAUGCUGGAGCAGGUUUGCUGGCAGGACCUGUGGCCCCAUGGGAGGGCCCCACGCUGGAGCAGAAGAAGAGCGUGAGGAGGAAGGAGCGGCAGAGACAUGUGAUGAACUGACUGCAACCCCUGCUCCCUGUCCCCCUGCACUGCUCGGGGGGAGGAGGUGGAGAAGU